rnacentral:lncRNA from 10 species
GUGCUCAACAGAAGGGGUGACGCCAUAUGGAUGCCAUGUUAUGGGAGCCUGUCACCUGCUAACCGAGAUGAGAAAUUACAGGUUAUAAUCCCCUUCCUGCUGUCUGAGGAGCCCAGCUUCAAAGAUAGCCAGGCAGGAGUUAUUUUAUAGAAUGGAAGUAAUUUCUACGGGGCCAAGCAAUAAUAAGGAAAUUGGAAGUCAAGGACUAUCUUCCGAAUGGAGAAGAAGCUCCAUCAACCACAGAAGGAAAUUAUGAUCACUCCUGCCAUCCUGCUCCUUUGUGUAUCCAGGAUGAAGGGGAGAAUUGGAGUCUUGCACAAUGAAAGGACAACAUUGCUGCCAAAACAAUCCAUCGUGACUGUAGACAUAUUUUCCACCCUCAUCCUGCAGGUUUUCUGCCAGUUGUUGGCCCCUCACCAAUUUUGCUCCUGGGCAGUCUGAGGUGGAACAUAAUUUUGUAUAAAACAAAUUAUGCUCAACCUCACUUAUAAUCAGGGAAAUGUGAGUCAAAACCACAAUAAAAUAUCACCUCAUGCUGUUUAGGAUUGCUGUUAUCAAGUAGACAAGAAAGAAGUGUUGGUGAGGGUAAGGAGAAAAUAAAAUCUUUGCACACUGUUGGUGGGAAUGUAAGUUGGUAAAGCCACUAUCAAAGGCAAUAUGAAGGAUUCUCAAAAAAUUAAAAAUAAAAUUGCCAAAUGAUCCAUCAAUCCUUCUUCUGGACACAUAAUCAAAGGAAAUGAAAUCAGUAUCUCAAAUAGAUAUUUGCACCCCAUAUCCAUUGCAUCCUUUUUUGUAAUAACCAAGAUAUGGGAGCAAUCGAAGUGUCCAUCAGCAAAUGAAUGGAUAAAGAAAUCAUGGUACACAUAUACAGUGGAAUAUUAUUCAGACAUAAAAAGGAAGGAAAUCCUGUCAUUUCUCAAGACAUUAAUGAACCCAGAGGACAUCAUACUAAGUGAAAUAAGCUAGAUAUAGGAAGACAAAAACCACAUGAUCUCACUUACAUGUGGAAUCUAAAAAAGUCAAACUCAUAGAAGCAGCGAGUAGAAUAGUGGUUGUCAAGGGCUUGGGAUAAUUGAGGAGAUGUUGGUUAAAGGGUACAAACUUUAAGUUAUAAGAUGAACAAGUUCUGGCGCUCUACUAUAUAGUAUGGGUGAUGACGGAUGUGUUAAUUAAUUUGAUUGUGACAUUCAUUACACGAUGCAUAUGUAUAACAAAUCAUCACAUUGUACACCUUGGAUAUAUUCCAUCUUUAUUUAUCAAUUAAAUAUUUCAAAAUGUUUUUAAAAAGGAAGGCAAAAUGGGCCAAAAGGAGUAACUACUUUAUGUAGAGCUGAUGUCCAGGCUAGAAUUUCUAAACUUUUUCUGUAACCUAGAGUCUCUGUUAUACUUUUGACUUACCCAUUAUUCAUAACAGAUCUCAGGAACCCUCAUCACACUGCCUAUUGCUAAAAACUCAAAGGAGUUAUUGUUAUAUGAACAACCCAAGUUAAUGCAGUCAUUAAUGGAAAUACAGAGUCUUGACUGAAAGAGAUCAUUUCUAUUUUUUGUUGCGAUAGUCAGAUCAUAGCCAGUCACAUCUUUUAGGGAGGAUGCAAAUAGGCUGGACUUCCUUCAGCAAACAGGAUGCUGUAGAAUAAAAUAUUCUACAUGAGAAUACUUAAACAAAUUGGAGUGCCUGGUGCCACCAUGUAAAUUGUGAGGUGUCAGACAGGCUGGUCUUUGGAUUAGAGAUUGGACUUACUCUCUGUGGCCCUAUGAGUAGAGCAGGUCGGGGUGGGGCUGGGCAGGGAGGAAGAUCAUCUUAAAGUGAUAGAUGUAGGCUCAGUGUGAGGAAGGAUUUCUAAGAGUUGGAGCUGCUCAGAGGUGAAAUAUCAAGAGAAUGCCCUUCAGGAGCAGUGUCUGAAGACAGACCACAUGGCCAAUAGGGAGAGAUAAGCGGGCUGGGUGGCCCUCAGCGCUUUGCUUCCAGUCUUGGGAGUCUUACUGAAAUAGCUAAUGACCACUCAACCCAAAGAACAGACACAUGUCUGCCAUGUCUCUCCAGGCUCAUCCUGCUUAUUGCAAGUGAGGCCCAAAGGUGGGGCUGUUAUUCCCUGAUGUUUCAGGUCCAUGUGCAACUUAUUCCCAGAUCUUUUCUGAAAAAAAAAGCAGAGAGACUGUUUGCCAGACAGCUGGACCAGAAUGAGGUAAAAGAAGAUAAGGCCCAACCGAGAAGUCAGAAAAGCUUCACUUUUCAUUAGCUCCACAUUCCAAAGUAAGAAAUCAAUGUGCUUAGCUGCAAUUCAAAGCAAUUAGUCUUUGUUCUCACACACUCUCAAAGAACGACUUAAAGAAGCC